UGGGGAAUAUUGCACAAUGGGCGAAAGCCUGAUGCAGCAACGCCGCGUGAAUGAUGACGGUCUUCGGAUUGUAAAGCUCUGUCUUUGGGGACGAUAAUGACGGUACCCAAGGAGGAAGCCACGGCUAACUACGUGCCAGCAGCCGCGGUAAUACGUAGGUGGCAAGCGUUGUCCGGAUUUACUGGGCGUAAAGGGUGCGUAGGCGGACCUUUAAGUGAGAUGUGAAAUCCCCGAGCUUAACUUGGGGGCUGCAUUUUAAACUGGAGGUCUAGAGUGCAGGAGAGGAGAGUGGAAUUCCUAGUGUAGCGGUGAAAUGCGUAGAGAUUAGGAAGAACACCAGUGGCGAAGGUGACUCUCUGGACUGUAACUGACGCUGAGGCACGAAAGCGUGGGGUGCAAACAG
rnacentral:rRNA from 1 species